ensembl:lncRNA
AAAGCAGAGUAACAGCAGAACGAGAAACACCACGUGAAUCGACAGCUAUAACAAGAGACCGUGCUGCUCAGAUCUGAUCGCUCCCUAAUUCAGAAACUUGGCCGUUAGAGAAGCGAGAGCCGCUGAAGUGCAUUGUGGGAGUGUAAAGACUGUGACAAACUAACCAACGGGAUGCCAGUAAUGAGUGCGCAGGCAACCAGCACGGGAAAAGAGAGGAAAGACUCAAAACACAAUGCAGACGCUCCGAAAAGUGUGUCUAAAGCGAGGAGCGUCACGCUGGAGGACGAGGACUGGAUGGCCGAUAACAAGCCGGCGCUGACCGCUGGAUCCAAUCUGAAACGCUCUGGAAGCGUUAAAGAUCUCAUCUACAGGUUCGACGGGCCGCCGCCGCGCCUCGGCUCGCUGAAGAUCAAAGGGCAAGACGCGAGCGCACAGGAUUCUGGGAAGAUGACACAUGAAAGCAGAGAGAUAGAGAAGAGCCAGAACCCGGUCUCUGGUGAGCCGUCAGAACCUAAAACACAAGAAGCCUGUGAGAAGAACGAUGACAAACACAGCAGCAAAGAGUGCAGUAAAGACCAGCCGGACGCUUCUGAUCCCGGUCCGCAUUCCAACCUAAAUGGUGAGAAGCAGCAGAGCAGUCCUCAGUCCGAGGACGAGCCCACGACCCCGAAAGUCCGGCCCAACCCCAAGUACCAGCUCUACCUGGGCUCCAACGGCUCCAGCAGCUCCAACGGGGCCAACGGGUCCAACGGGGCCCUGCUGAGGGCCAGUCCGGUGAGCCGAGGGUCCAUGGAGUCGCUGUCGUCCCGGGACGGGGACAGUAUGUCCGACAGAACGAGUGGCUUUGAAAGUCCUCCCCGAGGUUUCAUCAGUCCGUAUUCAACGCUCUCGCUGGACUACAAUCCCUUCAACAGAACGUCUGACUUUAAGACACAGGAAGUGAUGUCACCCACCGUCUCUGAGAUGAACCUGUUCGGUCUGAACAGAAGCGUGAGUCCCGUUAACAGUCCGGGUCUGAGCCACCGCACACGGAUCCCUGGAUACGACAGUCUGACCCGCCGACGAGACGCGACUCCAAGUCAACUCAUGCAACGAAACAACCAAACCAAACCGAACAAACUGGACUUUAUCCAGGAACUGACCAAACAGCUGGAGGACUGCCGCAGGAGGAACCAGUUUCUGGAAGCGGAGAGCAUCGAGAUGGAGAAGGAGAGGAACCAGAUCCGCUUCGAGAUGCGAGGUCUGCUGGUGAACAACGAAGACCUGCUGCGGACGAACACUCAGCUGCAGGGCGAGACGAACCGUCUGCGCGAGAACAUCGUGGAGUUAGAGAGCAACAACAACGUCCUGCAGGAGCGCUUCAGACAGAUAGAGAAAGAGCUGAAGGAGGCGCGGGAGGUGAUGGCCGAGGCAAACACUCAGGAAUACGCCUUCAGCUUCCUGCAGCAGACGCUCAAGAACCAAAUAAAGGACACUGAGGUGAAAUCACAAACAAACAUGCUCUCGCUUUCGAAGACCAAAAAUGCUAUUUCUUUUAUUGUUUUUAUAUUUACUGUAUUAUUAUUUUGUUCAUUUAUUUUAUUUUAUUAUUAUAUUAUAUAAAUUUUUUAUUAUUACUUAUUUAUUUUAUAAUAUACCAUUUU